rnacentral:rRNA from 1 species
GAUGAACGCUGGCGGCGUGCCUAAUACAUGCAAGUCGAGCGAACAGACGAGGAGCUUGCUCCUCUGACGUUAGCGGCGGACGGGUGAGUAACACGUGGAUAACCUACCUAUAUGACUGGGAUAACUUCGGGAAACCGGAGCUAAUACCGGAUAAUAUAUUGAACGGCAUGGUUCAAUAGUGAAUGACGGCUUUGCUGUCACUUAUAGAUGGAUCCGCGCCGCAUUAGCUAGUUGGUAAGGUAACGGCUUACCAAGGCAACGAUGCGUAGCCGACCUGAGAGGGUGAUCGGCCACACUGGAACUGAGACACGGUCCAGACUCCUACGGGAGGCAGCAGUAGGGAAUCUUCCGCAAUGGGCGAAAGCCUGACCGAGCAACGCCGCGUGAGUGAUGAAGGUCUUCGGAUCGUAAAACCCUGUUAUUAGGGAAGAACAAAUGUGUAAGAAACUAUGCACGUUUUGACGGUACCUAAUCAGAAAGCCACGGCUAACUACGUG